AGCUGGUCGGAGUACAGUGGUGUUUAUAACUAAUUGUCACAACAAGUUACAGGUUUCUUUGUUCCUUCUCCCCUUCCAUUGCCUCACUUGACUAGCCUAAA
ensembl:misc_RNA Y_RNA Y RNA